ACGGCAGGAAAAAGCAAAGAAAGGCAGAGGUCAGAAUCUGCCCCAGGGCUUCCGAAGCCCCAGGCAGCCUGUUUAGCCAGCGGGUGUCUCAGGCUGCCUUCUGUUUGUUCCAGGAACCACUAAAUCUGCCCCAGACUUGGGGCAGGGUGGCCACACCACAGCCCCACUCAGAGAAGCAGCCAAGCAAGGAUUUGCCCACAUGUCUCAAACCUCAGUCAACUGCAGGCAGCAGCCAGGGCCAUAACCCCAUGACCUCUGCGCGGCCCCUUCCGGAGUCCCGGAGCCAAUGAGGGGCUGGAGGAGGUGGUCUUGGAGUCAGAGCAGCCCGCCCAUCGGGACCUGGAGCCCCGUCUCCGCAGAGCGGCCUUGGCUGGGUCUUGGGCAGACAAGUGCAGCCCGUGUAGUCACUCCUGGAGAACUAUGGGCACUGCCCUGGGGUGCCCUACGCCCUGGUCAGGACCCCUGGGCUCAGCCCCGCAGAGGAGCAGGUAAGAGGCUGGGCCCCGUCCCUGCUGGGCCUUGGGCGGUCUGGGUGGGUAGCACCCGCCUCCUGCUCUCUAGCAGGAGCUGCAGCCCCUCAGCUCAGCCUGGACCCUGGCCUCCAGCCCCCCAGUGUGACCAGAACACAACCAGACCAUCACACCAGGGUCCCACACUCUCUUCCCAGCAGCCAACUUGGGGUGUAGGACUCUUGCUUACUGGCUGGGAGGGACCGUGAGACUCAAGGUCCCCCAGCCAGGAAGUGGGGACUGUGGCUGCCUUCAGUCUGAGCAAGAGACAGGGGUCAGAGGUGAGCACAGGAGCCAGACUCUACCUCCCACCCCACCCCCAGUUCUGCCUGCCCAGUGCCUCCCCAUCUUUCUGAAUUUGCAGCUGGACUGGAGCCUCAUGGAGGCAGGUGGUGCUGGUGGGAGUUGGUCAGGUGCCCCCACCUGCAGGAGAUGCCCUGGCGCCAGGCAGGUCGCUGACUGUCACCCUGGGAGCCAGGAUGAAAAUAAUUAAACAUGGGGAGUUCCCCCUGUGACACAGCAGGUUAAGGAUCCCAUGUGGUCUCUGCAGCUGCUUGGGUCACUGCUGAGGUCGCGGGCUAGGGGUCGAAUUGGAGCUGUAGCUGCCGGCCUACGCCACAGCCACAGCAACUUGGGAUCUGAGCUGCAUCUGUGAUCUACACCACAGCUCCUGGCAAUGCCAGAUCCCUGACCCACAGAGUGAGGCAAGGGAUCGAACCCACAUCCUCAUGGAUACUAGUCAGAUUUGUUUCCACUGCACCACAAUGAGAACUCCCAAGUCAGAUGUUAUGAUGUUUUGUCAUCUUGGGGUAUCUCUGUCCAGAUGCGACCUGUGUGCACACAAGGUGCACGUGUCCUCCUUGAAAGUCAGUGGGAGCUCUCAGUUCACACUGCUGUGGUUGAGGCCGCCCUGUUCUUUCAGCCGUUGUGGUAUUUUGUGGUUUGGAUGGACAGAAGGUGCCCCACUCUUUGUUCUCUCAGUGGGCUCUCUGUUUAAGUCAGACUACGGUCAGGCUGUCACAUUUCAGUCCUUGUACCCCUGCACCAAGAAGGACUGUGUCCACAGUGCAGAGGAAUAUUUGCCUCCCGUCAAGAGGGCCACUGUUAGAAACCCCUCCAGCAACCCCAUCGUACAUAUGCAGCUUUUCUCGUGAUAUUUCCACACCCCACAUGCCACCCCAGGGGCUGCACUGCACUGCAGAUCCCAGACCUAAAGACCUCGCAUUCACUACUUGCGCUUCCUGCGGGCAGGGCUGUCUGGCUUACUCUGAGUCUCCGUGAUGCCAGAACUAUUUGUUGAAUGAGUGAACAAGACUGUCUGGUAAAUGCCCAAACCAACACCCUCUGAAAGUUCAGUGGGCAGGAGAAACCUAGGAAGGCUUCCUGGAGUGGGUCGCCUUGGUGAUAUGGGCAAGGUUCCCAGACUGGGAAAUCUGAGAAGGAAGUCCAUUUGGAGACAAGCGGGACAGUGCGUGAAGGUGCGGAGACAGGCCUGUGCAGAGUAUGCUGGGGUGGGCCCCACUGGGCGCAGACCUGGGAGAGCCAGGCCCGGCCUGGGUGCCAGCCAGCCUCGCACUCCUUCAGUCCUAAGGAAGAGCCUGAGAAGGUCUGAGCAGUGGCGUGGCCUGCUGCCAGCUGCUCACACAGCGGGGUGGGGGUGGGGCUUCUGCAGAGCUAGGUUGGCAGGGUGGCCAGAGGUCCAACUGGUGGGAGGCUGCCAGUGUGGCUUUGCUGGCCUUCCCCCCAACCCACCCAGCCCUCAACUCAUCUGGUCCCCAGGGCAGCCCUGUGAGGCGGGGUGGGACCUCCUGCUCAUCUCACAGAAGAGGAGACUUGACGUUCAGAGCGGGGAAGGGUGGCAUGGGCUUCGUCACAAACCUUCUGGUACACACUGAGGCCUGGGAACUGGGCCCUGAGGCAGCAGCCACAGAGAGGGUCCCCACUCCAGUGGGCAGGAGCCUGGCCAUAGCUGGGACCCUGGGAGGCUGGCCCCAGUGAGGGCAAGGCCAGAGGGUGCAGGGGAUUCAAACAAGGCCAAACCCAUCAGAUCUUGGCUGUCAUUUUGGCAUAAGUGGUAAGAGUAAAAGCUUUCAGAUGAGGGAGAUAUUUCCCUACCCAGCUCACCACCGGGUCAUAUGCAAAACCAAAUUCUCUCCCUUUUUCCUCCCCCUUCCCCCUCUCUCCCUCUCUUCCCCCUCUCUUCCCUCCCUUGCCUUCCCCCUUCCUCUCCCCUCCCCCUCUCCCUCUGUCUUCCUCUCUCUCUUCUCCCCCCCCGCCCCGCAACCCCCAACGCCUACCCCUGUGCUGUGAGCUACACCAGAGCACAGCCUGGUGUUCUGCAUGAUCAUCCACCCAGCAGGACCGGAUUGUUGGUAGCAGAAGUGAGGUUUUCCUCACACAGGAUGCUCACUGUUGGCUGAGUUUCCUAAGGCUGCUGUAAGAAAUCCCCAUGAAUGCAGGGGCUUUAAAACAGCCCAAAUGUACUCUCUUAUGAUUCUGGGUUUUGAAAAUCUGAAAUGGACUUCACCGAUGGAAAGCAGGAAAUUCAGAGCCAAUGCAAGGACAAUGCUGGGGCUAUUCUGUCCCUUGGCUCUGUCACUGAGGUUGUCGUUGGGGGCGCAGCAUUCAUUACAGAGCAGAUUUGUCCUGCUUUAUGUCUGCAUGUUCUCAAAGUUCACACUCACUGUGCUUAGUGGCAUGAAAGGCCCCAUGAGAAAGACGUGAGGUCCAGGGAGGGGGGAUCCCCUCUCCUUCUGCCCCAAGUCGGGGUGGGGGGGGGGGCCCCUGUCUUCACAGCAAGGGCAGAUCCCUCUCCUGGCUCUACCCUGCCACCUGCUCCCCUUGGCCGGAUGUGGGUGGUUAGGGCUGACUGGAUGUGCAGGACCAUCUCGAGGCUCAGAGUCCUUACUUAGGUUGCCUCUGCCAUGUCUCCUUUGAUGUGUAAUGUGACACUGCAGGAUGCAGGGCCUGGACAUCUGUGGGGGCUGUCAUCCUGUCCACCAUCCAUCAGGCACCCAGAGUUCUCAGCCCAGGCUGAACACAGGUGUUUCAUGAACUAAACCCCUGGCCCCAAGGAUACAGGCCAAAGUGGAGGCAUUCUCUAGAACAUUCUGUGCAAUUUAUGUGCCUUAGGUACAUCUGAUUUUGCCAAUCAGAGCCCACUAGUAACACACAUUAUAUGAUUAACAGGCCACAGCCUCACCUGUGAAAAUCCACAUGCUGCAUGGCAGACCCUUGGUAUAAACUGGGCAAAGGAGCUGAAGUGGAGGCUUCCUGUGAUAGGCAGUCUGGGGGGGGGGGUUCCUAAAUGGGGCCCCCACAAGCUCUUCCUGGCAUGGAAGACCUUUGAACAGGAAGCUGCAAAGCCAGGGAGGGGGAGGAAGCAAGAAAUGCCCCAAGUUCUGGCUUGGGGGAUCUUUUUUUUUUUUUUCCUUUUUUUCCAUUUUUAAUUUUAGGGCUAUACCCAUGGCAUAUGGAGGUUCCCAGGCUAGGGGUCAAAUUGGAGCUGUAGCUCCCAACCUACACCACAGCCACAGCAAUGCUGGAUCCUUAACCCACUGAGCGAGGCCAGGGAUCAAACCCACAUCAUCACGAACACUACAUUGGGUUCUUAACCUGCUGAGCCGCACUGGGAACUCCCUGGCUUGGGGAUCUUUACAAGAAUAGGAGGGUGGAGGGCCUGCGUUGUGUCCUAGGCAGCGGCAUCAUCUCAGGCCUUCAGCUGUGUCCCCUGGGAGGCCACCCCCAUCUCUCUACCUGGCCUGUCCCUGUGCAGCACCUCCCCAGGCAGAUCACACCGCAUAUCUGAGCUCCAUUUUCUCAUCCUCAUCCUGAGAACUGCUCCCUCCAGAGGUUAGAGUAUUGAAUCCAGGCCAGAAGCAGAGGUGCUGCAUUUUUUUUUUUUUUCACUCUAGAAAUAUUUACUGCAUGCCUAUUGUGCAACUUUAGGUGUAAAAGAGAAAGUUAUUGAACAAAAAUAUAAUAGAAUACAACUUUCCUGAACUAAUAAAAACAUGAAAUUACAGAUAAAAAGACAAUUUAUCCUCAAAAGGAAAGAAGGAAACCCUGAAGUAGAACAGUUGACUUGAAGACAUAUCCAUGCUACCUGACUGAAUUUCAGGGGUAAAGAGAAAUUCAACAGCCCUCAAGUGGGAAUCUUAUAGCAGGGGGUGCAUGGCAAACAGAGCUUUUGCUGCAUGUAGGAUUGGGGAAAUUGCCAGAAUCGCCUUUAUGUUUAUGGCACACGUGCACCAACACUUUGAGAACAGAUGGAGUUUGGGGGCUUUUACAUGCAUUCUGUAGAGUGGCUGAAAUGUUCCUAUCAUUUCUGUCAACAGACACAGACUUAAAAAUAGCAAAUGUUGACGGGAGACUUGGCCAUGGCUUUGAGUUGCCACGGUGCUCUGACAGGUGUCACAGGAGAUUGGGCACAGGGACAGCCUCCCUCAGUAACACAGGAGACUGUGACUGCAGUGAAGUGGGGGUUCCAGCUACAGUCGCCACCUUUCCCUAGGUUGGCAAGUGGGUUUAGGGCGUCAGAACCAGCGUUUAUUAGGAAAUGAAAUAAGAGAAGCUAGAGUCAGGGUAGAACAUAUUAGCAUGUGUCAUGUGUUGCCUUUGAAACUUUUUUGCAAGUGCCCGUUUCACUCAGCAAGCUCUGGUUAGAAGGUGUGUGCCUU
ensembl:lncRNA